CAGGAUUCCCUGAGCUUCUUCUCUGGGUCUCUACAUCUGUUUCCAUCAGUUGCUGGAUGAAGCAAGCCUCUCUGAUGACAACUGGGAAGGAAGAUGCUACACUUUCUAAAGUCAGCACUGCCGAUUAGUGAGAUGCAGAAUUGCUCCAAGUGAAGGAUAAAUUGGACAUCAAUAGAGUUUAAGAGACCUGUGGAAAUAGGACCUUUGGAAGAAAGAGUCUUUUGGCGGCGGAUACAAUAUUGGAAAUACUGUUAGAAAUCUGUAUUCUCUUCAUUACCAAUUUCUACCCAUUGCAAACUUUAGAAAUUUUUGGUCUCCCACAUUCUAAACUGCAAACAACCUUAAAAUAUUAAACAUUCAAGAUUACAUGGUAAAACUGAACC